UGAGGAUUGUCGCUAUUUUUUCAAGUGUUUAUAGCUAGAGUGCGUUCUCAACGUAAUAAAUCAGUGGUCGGAAAUGUCAUGUCAGCGUCCCAUUCAUAUGCGAUGCAAUGAAACAAUGUAUCGCGUCUCGAGUACGGUUGCAGCUACAGUGUACUGCUGCAGCAGCCUUCCGCUUGAUUUUCUUUUAAAAAGUAAAGUUACGGUUCCUUCGGAGAAGUCAUGUUAAUCUUGACGCAAUGUUUCAAAGCUAGAAACGAAAACACUAAAAAAAAAGAAAAGCUACAUUGCGCGGUUUCGAACCCACGACGUUCAACACCACAAACUGCCGCGCUGAGUGCUAACCGACUUCGCCACCAAAGCAUCUCGGUGGUGGGGUUUAACAACGGCGUGUGUACGACGUGGUGAAUUACAAUGUGAUGAUUGUAGAUCGUAGUUCUUUCACUACAGCGCAGCUGUUGAAGUGACGACCCUGGGCCCCCGCGCACCCAUGGCCCCGUCGUGGUGGUCGGUCCCGCCUCAGAAACGGCGCUUUCGGUUCUAUUUAGAACCGACUACAUCGUCAAAGUUCCCCUACAGAUUGUGUGGAGCCAGAAGAAAGAAUCGUCUGCUGCUCUAGAUGCUUCACAGGCAAGUUCAGAUGAGCUUACUGAGGACAAUGUCGGGCUCGAAGAUGAACCAUAUCUGCAGGAUGAAUUUCCUAUAACAGUCAGCAAGGUCCAUGGUAAUUCGGAAUGUAGUCAAGAGGUUCCUGAGGAUGUUGAAGUCGACAACCCAGAUGCUGACCUCUCUGAUUGUGUGGCAAGAAAUUCAGCAGUAAUGCUUCCUGGCCUCUCUGUAAGUAGAUUGCAAGCUUGUGCUUGUGUGAGUCGUAAUUCAAUAAAAAUGUGCUUACUGGAUUACAACCACUGAUAGCUCAUAUUUGAAGGUGCGAGAUCAGAAGGUUCCUUGUAAAGCACCAAUUAUGUGAGAUAUUGGUGAUUGAGUACUGACUCAGAUUUUAGAAGUUUUUUGUAUUCUUGCGCUUAAUAAAAUCGGUGUCAAGAACACUAACAAGUUUAUUGGGGUUCCUCGGAAUGCAAUUAGUACAUUUUCAAUGCCACUUCCUUAAAAAAAAACAUUUGUGGUGUUCAUAUCGAGCUGGUGGUUAUGUGUAAACACAGUGUGACGUAGGUCUAAGUCACGUGAGGACAGCAACACUUGAUGUUCUUGCAGCCCUCUGUAGUUUCAGAAAGGGCCUUUUGGAAGGCAACCGAAUGAGAAUUGUGGCUUUUGCAUUACAGCAUCCCAUGUCUUGAUGACAUUCUGCCAUCAAGAUACAUCAGGCAUUUCAUGCCGCUUUCUAAAAGCCUCUUCAUGCUGCUCAAGGAAACUGUCGAGGAGUCUGAGGCAUUUAUUGCUCAGAGAUUGUUAAAGAGGUUUGUUCAAGAGGUUUGUUCAAGAGGUUUCCAUACUGUAUGGUGCAGCCGCUCAGACCAUAUUACUGUUAUGCCAGGAAAUUAUCUGUCAGCAGUAUUUUUUACUCUUCAUGUACAGUAUCGAGCAUCCACCAGCACAUGUAGGGCAGUGUUUGCUGCAUGAAAGCAGCAUGGCUUCACCGUGUGUUCUUGUAAAUCGAGGGGGAACAUUCAUUGUAGCAAAAAUGCCGAAUCUUUUCGAAGGUGACUAAAAGAUGUGUGCCCUAUUCUUCUAGUGUACGAGACGUGUUUCUCCAAAAGUUCAUAUGGUGCACCUUGUCCAACAGUUGAUAUGAUAGGUUAGAAUGUACAGUUUUCCUUUUCUUUCUUUCAUCGGUGAGCAUGUGAUAGUAAGGCAGAGAAUAUUGCAGAAAUAUUUGUCGUUUAACCUUGAUCUGACACCCGAAUGUAACUACUCUGAUUGACGAUAUAGACUCAUACAGGAUUUUUAAAAGGAAGAUUCAGUCACACUUACUAUCUACCAUAGGCGUGCGCAGGGUUCCCCUUCAGGGGGGUGAAGGUUCGUCGCAGCACCCCCCUCCCAAUUAUGUCAAUGUAUGGCGCUGACAUUGCCCCCCCCCCCGAUUGGCAGCGCCCCCCUGCCUAUUAUGUCAAUGUAUGGGGCUGACUUUGCACCCCCCCCUCUUAGGUGAAUAGGGGGGGCAGCCUGCCCUCCUGUGCGCACACUUAUGCUAUCUACAUAAACAUAUUCACCAUCAUCAUAAUCAUUGUUUUGUAUUCUCUAAAGUAUUUGUUUUCUUUGUUUUUUUAAUUUCUGAAACCUUAUGCAUUGAAAUAUUACAUUUCGUCAUGUAAUGUCACAUUCAUGUUUGUUUAUUUUCUCAAACUUUGUUUCAUUUGUUGGUCACAUAUAUGCCUUACUGAUGUCAUUGCCUGGGCCAACUCACUCAUCUAUUUGUUUUCUUAUACACAUGUGACCUGCACGUAGCAACUAAUUUAUGCUUAUUUCAUUAUUGACUGUUAAUUUUUUACACUGAGCAUUUAGUCAUUUUGGUGGGAUUUUAGGCUUUCAGUGGGCAGGCGCCUUGUCAGGCUUUUAUAGCUUUUCGACGGUCCCCUAGGCAAAUUGUACCUUUGUUUUGCUUUUUUCCCGAAAUAAACCUCAACUUCACCUUGCUUGUCUAACCGCCUUGUCGUAUGACAUUUGUAGUAUUGGCAUUUUGCAGGAAAAAUAUGCAUAUGCAGAAAACAAACUACAGUUGCAACCGUUCCUUAACAACAAACAUGUGAAACAUUCUUUUGAUGCUAUUUGCUGAUGCUAUUUCUGCCUAGCUGUCAGUGAACUUAUAUUUCUGUGCUUGGUUGCCACAUUGAGAAGUGAUAUGUCCGAUACUGGCAGCUGGCUUGUUGCGCCCUUCCUUCUUUGGGGUCUACCCUUUUAAGGACAGAGGCCAUAAGAACAAUAUCUCAUAUUUUUAGUGGGUUUACAAGCUGGUUUUUGGCUUUCCAUUUCAAAUGUGCUUUUCAUUUCCAAUGUUCCUAUGCGAGUACAGCAUAAUUUCAAAAUUUUAUAGCAGAUAUAAUCAAGCACUUUAUGGCACAACGUUCUGGGAUUGCUGAAAUUUUCAAACGUAUAGCCCUGUUACUUUGAUUAUUUUGCAUUCUUUUUUUAUUGGACAUUGAUGUACAUGCAUGUAUGCCUACUGCAGUUCACCAUGUCUAUAUAGUGCAGUUAGAAGUACAAAAACUUGUUCUGUGCUGAUGUGUUGAAUAAAUGCAAAUGUGACAUCGC